rnacentral:rRNA from 1 species
CAGCAGCCGCGGUAAUACGUAGGGUGCGAGCGUUAAUCGGAUUUACUGGGCGUAAAGCGUGCGCAGGCGGCCCGUUAAGACAGGUGUGAAAUCCCUGGGCUCAACCUAGGAAUUGCGCUUGUGACUGGCGGGCUCGAGUACGGUAGAGGGGGGUGGAAUUCCUGGUGUAGCAGUGAAAUGCGUAGAGAUCAGGAGGAACACCGAUGGCGAAGGCAGCCCCCUGGGCCUGUACUGACGCUCAUGCACGAAAGCGUGGGGAGCAAACAGGAUUAGAUACCCUGGUAGUCCACGCCCUAAACGAUGGGUACUAGCCGUUUGGUGCGCGAUAGCGCUGAGUGGCGAAGCUAACGCGUGAAGUACCCCGCCUGGGGAGUACGGCCGCAAGGCUGAAACUUAAAGGAAUUGGCGGG